rnacentral:rRNA from 1 species
CCUACGGGAGGCAGCAGUGAGGAAUAUUGGUCAAUGGACGCAAGUCUGAACCAGCCAUGCCGCGUGCAGGAAGACGGCUCUAUGAGUUGUAAACUGUUUUUGUACGAGGGUAAAUGCAGAUACGUGUAUCCGUCUGCACGUCUCGUUCGUAUAAGGCUGGGCCAACUCCGUGCCAGCAGCCGCGGUAAUACGGAGGUUUCAAGCGUUAUCCGGAUUUAGUGGGUUUAAAGGGUGCGUAGGCGGUCGGAUAAGUUAGAGGUGAAAUCCCGAGGCUCAACUUCGGAAUUGCCUUGGAUACUGUUCGGCUAGAGAGUAGUAGCGGUAAGCGGAAUGUAUGGUGUAGCGGUGAAAUGCUUAGAGAUCAUACAGAACACCAAUUGCGAAGGCAGCUUACCGGGCUACUUCUGACGUUGAGGCACGAAAGCGUGGGGAGCAAACAGGAUUAGAUACCCGUGUAGUC